rnacentral:rRNA from 1 species
UACGAAGGGGGCUAGCGUUGUUCGGAAUCACUGGGCGUAAAGGGCGCGUAGGCGGCCGAUCAAGUCGGGGGUGAAAGCCUGUGGCUCAACCACAGAAUUGCCUUCGAUACUGGUUGGCUUGAGACCGGAAGAGGUAAGUGGAACUGCGAGUGUAGAGGUGAAAUUCGUAGAUAUUCGCAAGAACACCAGUGGCGAAGGCGGCUUACUGGGCCGGUUCUGACGCUGAGGCGCGAAAGCGUGGGGAGCAAACAGG